rnacentral:tRNA from 4 species
GGGCGAUUAGCUCAGCGGGAGAGCACUCCCUUCACACGGGAGGGGUCGCAGGUUCGAUCCCUGCAUCGCCCACCA